rnacentral:rRNA from 1 species
AGUCGAGGGGCAGCAUCAUCAAAGCUUGCUUUGAUGGAUGGCGACCGGCGCACGGGUGAGUAACACGUAUCCAACCUGCCGACAACACUGGGAUAGCCUUUCGAAAGAAAGAUUAAUACCGGAUGGUAUAGUUUUCCCGCAUGGGAUGAUUAUUAAAGAAUUUCGGUUGUCGAUGGGGAUGCGUUCCAUUAGGCAGUUGGCGGGGUAACGGCCCACCAAACCUACGAUGGAUAGGGGUUCUGAGAGGAAGGUCCCCCACAUUGGAACUGAGACACGGUCCAAACUCCUACGGGAGGCAGCAGUGAGGAAUAUUGGUCAAUGGACGAGAGUCUGAACCAGCCAAGUAGCGUGAAGGAUGACUGCCCUAUGGGUUGUAAACUUCUUUUAUACGGGAAUAAAGUGAGCCACGUGUGGCUUUCUGUAUGUACCGUAUGAAUAAGGAUCGGCUAACUCCGUGCCAGCAGCCGCGGUAAUACGGAGGAUCCGAGCGUUAUCCGGAUUUAUUGGGUUUAAAGGGAGCGUAGGCGG